GGGUUGUGAGGUUAAGCGACUAAGCGUACACGGUGGAUGCCCUGGCAGUCAGAGGCGAUGAAGGACGUGCUAAUCUGCGAAAAGCGCCGGCGAGGUGAUAUGAACCUUUGACCCGGCGAUGUCCGAAUGGGGAAACCCAGUGUGUUCCGACACACUAUCGUUAACUGAAUACAUAGGUUAACGAGGCGAACCGGGGGAACUGAAACAUCUAAGUACCCCGAGGAAAAGAAAUCAACCGAGAUUCCCCCAGUAGCGGCGAGCGAACGGGGAGCAGCCCAGAGUCUGAAUCAGCUUGUGUGUUAGUGGAAGCGUCUGGAAAGUCGCACGGUACAGGGUGACAGUCCCGUACACGAAAGCACACAGGCUGUGAACUCGAAGAGUAGGGCGGGACACGUGGUAUCCUGUCUGAAUAUGGGGGGACCAUCCUCCAAGGCUAAAUACUCCUGACUGACCGAUAGUGAACCAGUACCGUGAGGGAAAGGCGAAAAGAACCCCGGCGAGGGGAGUGAAAAAGAACCUGAAACCGUGUACGUACAAGCAGUGGGAGCCUCUUUUAUGGGGUGACUGCGUACCUUUUGUAUAAUGGGUCAGCGACUUAUAUUCUGUAGCAAGGUUAACCGUAUAGGGGAGCCGAAGGGAAACCGAGUCUUAACUGGGCGUUAAGUUGCAGGGUAUAGACCCGAAACCCGGUGAUCUAGCCAUGGGCAGGUUGAAGGUUGGGUAACACUAACUGGAGGACCGAACCGACUAAUGUUGAAAAAUUAGCGGAUGACUUGUGGCUGGGGGUGAAAGGCCAAUCAAACCGGGAGAUAGCUGGUUCUCCCCGAAAGCUAUUUAGGUAGCGCCUCGUGAACUCAUCUUCGGGGGUAGAGCACUGUUUCGGCUAGGGGGCCAUCCCGGCUUACCAACCCGAUGCAAACUACGAAUACCGAAGAAUGUUAUCACGGGAGACACACGGCGGGUGCUAACGUCCGUCGUGAAGAGGGAAACAACCCAGACCGCCAGCUAAGGUCCCAAAGUCAUGGUUAAGUGGGAAACGAUGUGGGAAGGCACAGACAGCCAGGAUGUUGGCUUAGAAGCAGCCAUCAUUUAAAGAAAGCGUAAUAGCUCACUGGUCGAGUCGGCCUGCGCGGAAGAUGUAACGGGGCUAAACCAUGCACCGAAGCUGCGGCAGCGACGCUUAUGCGUUGUUGGGUAGGGGAGCGUUCUGUAAGCCGUUGAAGGUGUCCUGUGAGGGGUGCUGGAGGUAUCAGAAGUGCGAAUGCUGACAUAAGUAACGAUAAAGCGGGUGAAAAGCCCGCUCGCCGGAAGACCAAGGGUUCCUGUCCAACGUUAAUCGGGGCAGGGUGAGUCGACCCCUAAGGCGAGGCCGAAAGGCGUAGUCGAUGGGAAACAGGUUAAUAUUCCUGUACUUGGUGUUACUGCGAAGGGGGGACGGAGAAGGCUAUGUUAGCCGGGCGACGGUUGUCCCGGUUUAAGCAUGUAGGCGGAGGUUCCAGGUAAAUCCGGUUCCUUGUUAACGCUGAGGUGUGAUGACGAGGCACUACGGUGCUGAAGUAACAAAUGCCCUGCUUCCAGGAAAAGCCUCUAAGCAUCAGGUAACAUCAAAUCGUACCCCAAACCGACACAGGUGGUCAGGUAGAGAAUACCAAGGCGCUUGAGAGAACUCGGGUGAAGGAACUAGGCAAAAUGGUGCCGUAACUUCGGGAGAAGGCACGCUGAUAUGUAGGUGAAGUCCCUGCGGAUGGAGCUGAAAUCAGUCGAAGAUACCAGCUGGCUGCAACUGUUUAUUAAAAACACAGCACUGUGCAAACACGAAAGUGGACGUAUACGGUGUGACGCCUGCCCGGUGCCGGAAGGUUAAUUGAUGGGGUUAGCGGCAACGCGAAGCUCUUGAUCGAAGCCCCGGUAAACGGCGGCCGUAACUAUAACGGUCCUAAGGUAGCGAAAUUCCUUGUCGGGUAAGUUCCGACCUGCACGAAUGGCGUAAUGAUGGCCAGGCUGUCUCCACCCGAGACUCAGUGAAAUUGAACUCGCUGUGAAGAUGCAGUGUACCCGCGGCAAGACGGAAAGACCCCGUGAACCUUUACUAUAGCUUGACACUGAACACUGGUCCUUGAUGUGUAGGAUAGGUGGGAGGCUUUGAAGCGUGGACGCCAGUCUGCGUGGAGCCAACCUUGAAAUACCACCCUUUAAUGGCUGGUGUUCUAACGUAGACCCGUGAUCCGGGUUGCGGACAGUGUCUGGUGGGUAGUUUGACUGGGGCGGUCUCCUCCCAAAGAGUAACGGAGGAGCACGAAGGUUAGCUAAUCCUGGUCGGACAUCAGGAGGUUAGUGCAAUGGCAUAAGCUAGCUUGACUGCGAGAGUGACGGCUCGAGCAGGUGCGAAAGCAGGUCAUAGUGAUCCGGUGGUUCUGAAUGGAAGGGCCAUCGCUCAACGGAUAAAAGGUACUCCGGGGAUAACAGGCUGAUACCGCCCAAGAGUUCAUAUCGACGGCGGUGUUUGGCACCUCGAUGUCGGCUCAUCACAUCCUGGGGCUGAAGUAGGUCCCAAGGGUAUGGCUGUUCGCCAUUUAAAGUGGUACGCGAGCUGGGUUUAGAACGUCGUGAGACAGUUCGGUCCCUAUCUGCCGUGGGCGCUGGAGAAUUGAGGGGGGCUGCUCCUAGUACGAGAGGACCGGAGUGGACGCAUCACUGGUGUUCGGGUUGUCAUGCCAAUGGCACUGCCCGGUAGCUAAAUGCGGAAGAGAUAAGUGCUGAAAGCAUCUAAGCACGAAACUUGCCCCGAGAUGAGUUCUCCCUGAGACUUUAAGUCUCCUGAAGGAACGUUGAAGACUACGACGUUGAUAGGUCGGGUGUGUAAGCGCAGCGAUGCGUUGAGCUAACCGAUACUAAUGAACCGUGAGGCUUAACCUUACAACGCCGAAG
rnacentral:rRNA from 1 species